rnacentral:rRNA from 1 species
CCUACGGGAGGCAGCAGUAGGGAAUAUUGCUCAAUGGGGGAAACCCUGAAGCAGCAACGCCGCGUGGAGGAUGAAGGUUUUCGGAUUGUAAACUCCUUUUGUUAGAGAAGAUAAUGACGGUAUCUAACGAAUAAGCACCGGAUAACUCCGUGCAAGCAGCCGCGGUAAGACGGCGGGUGCAAGCGUUACUCGGAAUCACUGGGCGUAAAGAGCGCGUAGGCGGGAUAGCAAGUCAGCUGUGAAAACCUAUGGCUUAACCAUAGAACUGCAUUUGAAACUGUUAUUCUAGAGUAUGGGAGAGGUAGGUGGAAUUCUUGGUGUAGGGGUAAAAUCCGUAGAGAUCAAGAGGAAUACUCAUUGCGAAGGCGACCUGCUAGAACAUAACUGACGCGGCGUCGCGAAAGCGUGGGGAGCGAACAGGAUUAGAUACCCCUGUAGUC